CGAAGCCGCGUGCGGCCUCUUCCCAGCGCCGCCGCCACCUUGGGCCACCCCGUGGUAACUCCCCCGACCUCCUGCAGCCCGCCUCCGCCGUCCCGGAGCUCCCCGGCCGCCGCCGUGGCCGCAGCAACUCCUGGAACCCGAGCCGAUCUCGUGCGGGCUCGGUUUGCUCCGCCGCCGCCGCCGCCGCUUCCAGCCGCCACCUGAGGUGAGCACGGUACUCCUCACCUCCCCCGCACCCGUCCCUGGUCGCCGUGCGCGCCGCCGUGCCGCCGGAGGCCGGCCGGAGCAAGGUUGCUCCGGCCAAGCCCGAAAUAGGGCUAUUGUGGAUGGAUUUGUGUUCCGAGCUUCCUGAGCCUCCCCGAUCUGUACGGAAGGGAGCACGAUGAUCCUGGCAAGUUGCUGAUCAUCGUGCUCACCUUAGUUUCUGUCGGGGAGACUCCGUUCCGCUGUUUCGGCGAUGUCGCUCCGUUUCAGCCUUUUUGGCUGCUGUUUCGGGAUUGUGCUUGUUUAUCCGGCGAUUCGAGGCUGUCCUGAUGCCUCCGGAGGUGAGCACGGUGAUCGUUGGUCAGUGCUGAUCACAGUGCUCACUUCACUUUGGAUCAGAAGUGUCCAGUUAGUUCUGUGCAGCGCGAUCUUCCCUGACUGCGCGCUAUUCGCUGAACCUUCGGGUUGCUCCCGCGCUUCCCACAGUGAGCCGCUGUGCUCCGGAUCGUGAGCACGGACUCCGGUACGUCGAGACCUGUCAGUACGUGUCUCUGCGGACUUUGAAAGUCCUUGGUUUCCGUGAACGAGCCGCUUGAUCGCUCAAAUUACAUAAAAUGAUGAGAUUUUAUGUAAUUAGAGGGUCUUUUAUGCAAUUGUGCUUUGUGUGGCUACUGUGGGCAGCGUGUAUGAGUUUGUAUUGACCGCUGGACUAAUUGUCCAUGGUCCGUUAGCUUUCGCGGAAAUCGGUAGGUCGAUUUCGGUGCGUUUUUCGGCGAAAUUCGCCGAAAGAACGCGGUUUCGGUUCGGAUCCUUUCCGACGGUGUUUGGUUGCUUCGUGUUUUGUCGCUGAGCCUUGUUGGCUGGUCACCAUCGUCAUUUUGUGGGUUCGAUGAUGAUAGGUGAGCGACGGAGGGUUCCGGUGUCGAAAUAGACACUUCAGGGAACCCGGAUUUGUACGAUUAUCCGGCGAUGAUCGUAUUGUUGUGUGACCUUGUGUUCGCUGCCAAGGCAUCCAAAUUGGAAUGUUUUGGGGCAGCGGGUGACCCGUGGUACGAGUCGGUGAGUUCGGGACACUUAGUGGGUCCCGACGGCGUCCCGGUGUGGUUUUCGGGACUUCCGGUGAGUUACGGUAAUCGGUUUUGGGAAAUCGAUUACGGGGAUCCUUUGUGGGGGUUUGUGAGUCUCGUGCUUUGGGUUAGUGGAUUGGAUACUGACUUGGUGGAUCUUCUUAGGUCCGGUCGACUUGUGCGUACCCAGUGUUCCGACGCGACAGUGACAGGUGGGUACUUCGAUCCGAAGUCGGUACAGUGGUGCACGCUCGGUGAUAUUCUUCUAUCCCUGUUCUUCUGCGCUAUUUUCGUAUUAUAUAUUGAGCUUGCAUCCCCGUUGUUUCUAUUAUGCCCUAUUCAUAUGUUCUAUGCUUAGUAUCAUGUGUAGGAGUAGAGUAGUUUAUCCAUAUGUGAUAUCGGUGACCUGAUUGGUCGGUUCUCGUACUUUGUUCCGGUGACCUAAUUGGUCGGUUCUCGUACUUCGUUUCGGUGACCUAGUUGAUCGGUGCUUUUAUCUUAUAUCUGUUGACCUGGUU
rnacentral:lncRNA from 1 species